CGCACAAGAAUGUGAUAGAACCUCGACGGCCGCCAUUUUCUUCCUUUCUUAGCAGUUAGCUGGAAGGAGACCCGUGAAGCCGCAGCGGCUCCCAUAAUUCGGCCAUGGCUGACUAUUCAACAGUGCCUCCACCUUCCUCUGGCUCCGCCGGUGGUGGUGGCGGCGGCGGCGGUGGUGGAGGAGUUAACGAUGCUUUCAAAGAUGCGCUACAGAGAGCCCGGCAGAUUGCAGCAAAAAUUGGGGGUGAUGCUGGUACAUCAUUGAAUUCAAAUGACUAUGGUUAUGGGGGACAAAAAAGGCCUUUAGAAGAUGGAGAUGGCUCUUGGACAAGUCCGAGCAGUACAACACACUGGGAGGGAAUGCCCUCUCCUUUUAAAGAUCAACCAGAUGCUAAGAAAGUUGCCCCUCAAAAUGACUCUUUUGGAUCACAGUUACCACCGAUGCACCAGCAGCAAAGCAGAUCUGUGAUGACAGAAGAAUACAAAGUUCCAGAUGGAAUGGUUGGCUUUAUAAUUGGCAGAGGAGGUGAACAGAUCUCACGCAUUCAACAGGAAUCUGGAUGCAAAAUACAGAUCGCUCCUGAUAGCGGUGGCCUUCCAGAAAGGUCGUGUAUGUUAACUGGAACACCUGAAUCUGUCCAAUCAGCAAAACGGUUACUGGACCAGAUUGUUGAAAAAGGCCGACCAGCCCCCGGGUUUCAUCAUGGUGAUGGACCUGGAAAUGCAGUUCAAGAAAUCAUGAUUCCAGCUAGCAAGGCAGGAUUAGUUAUUGGAAAGGGGGGAGAGACUAUUAAACAACUGCAGGAACGGGCUGGAGUUAAAAUGGUUAUGAUUCAAGAUGGGCCUCAGAACACUGGUGCUGACAAACCUCUUAGGAUUACAGGCGACCCAUACAAAGUUCAACAAGCGAAGGAAAUGGUGUUGGAGUUAAUUCGUGAUCAAGGUGGUUUCAGAGAAGUUCGAAAUGAGUAUGGGUCAAGAAUAGGAGGCAAUGAAGGGAUAGAUGUCCCCAUCCCAAGAUUUGCUGUUGGCAUUGUAAUAGGAAGAAAUGGAGAGAUGAUUAAAAAAAUACAAAAUGAUGCUGGUGUUCGAAUUCAGUUUAAGCCAGAUGAUGGAACAACACCUGAUAGGAUAGCUCAAAUAACUGGACCUCCAGAUCGAUGUCAGCAUGCUGCAGAAAUUAUCACAGACCUUCUUCGAAGUGUUCAGGCUGGUAAUCCUGGUGGACCUGGACCUGGGGGUCGAGGAAGAGGUAGAGGUCAAGGCAACUGGAACAUGGGACCACCAGGUGGACUACAGGAAUUUAAUUUCAUUGUGCCAACUGGGAAGACUGGAUUAAUAAUAGGAAAAGGGGGUGAGACCAUAAAAAGUAUAAGCCAACAAUCUGGUGCCAGAAUAGAACUUCAGAGGAAUCCUCCACCCAAUGCAGAUCCUAACAUGAAAUUAUUUACAAUUCGUGGCACUCCUCAACAAAUAGACUAUGCUCGGCAACUCAUAGAAGAAAAGAUUGGUGGCCCAGUAAAUCCUUUAGGGCCACCUGUUCCCCAUGGGCCCCAUGGUGUCCCAGGUCCCCAUGGACCUCCUGGGCCUCCAGGGCCUGGAACUCCAAUGGGACCAUAUAAUCCUGCACCUUAUAACCCAGGACCACCUGGCCCAGCUCCUCAUGGUCCUCCAGCCCCAUAUGCUCCCCAGGGCUGGGGAAAUGCAUAUCCACAUUGGCAGCAGCAGGCUCCUCCUGAUCCAGCCAAGGCAGGAACAGAUCCGAAUUCCGCAGCCUGGGCUGCUUAUUAUGCUCACUAUUAUCAACAACAAGCACAACCACCACCUGCAGCUCCUACAGGCGCACCCACAGCAACCCAAACGAACGGGCAAGGUAACUAUGGAGAUCAACAGAAUCCAGCUCCAGCUGGACAGGUUGAUUAUACCAAGGCUUGGGAAGAAUACUACAAGAAAAUGGGUCAAGCUGUCCCUGCGCCUGCCGGUGCUCCCCCUGGUGGCCAGCCUGACUACAGUGCAGCCUGGGCCGAGUACUAUAGACAGCAGGCUGCUUACUAUGCCCAGACCAGUCCGCAGGGAAUGCCGCAGCAUCCGCCAGCACCUCAGGGAUUUGCAAAUCAUGCAAGAAGCCACCACCAUUUAUAUUAACCAGUUUUUCUUUCUUAAAGGAUUCACUCCUGAAUUAGCUCCAUUUAAAGGAUUUUCUUUAACUUUUUGUGUAUUUCUUAUGUAUCUCUUCUGCACAGGGCCAAUAAUAAGAAGUGGACAAUACAGUAUUUGCUUCAUUGUGUGGGGGAAAAAAACCUUUGUUAAAUAUAUGGAUGCAGACGACUUGAUGAAGAUCUUAAUUUUGUUUUGGUUUAAAGUAGUGUUUUUUUUUUUGUUUUUUUUUUGAAACUGUACAAAAUAUCUAUCACUACUGAUAGGAGGUUAAUAUUUCUGUGUAGAAAUGAAAAUUGGUUUGUUUUUAGUACCUAGUGUAGAUGUACACAUUCCAGCAAAUGUAUUUGCAACUAUUAUGUGGUCGAUGCUUUGUGAUAUAAAUGUACUUUUUCAAUGUAUACUUUCACUUUUAAAAUGCCUGUUUUGUGCUUUACAAUAAAUGAUAUGAAACCUCCUGUGUCGGUAAGUUGGAUAUGUGGCUAAAGGAUUCAUAAUUUCUUAGCGAUUAUAAAUUAAGAUACAUAUACACAAAUAUAUAAGCUUUCCCCAUGGAUUACUGAGUUGUUAAACACUGGCAUGUUUUUCCCCCCUUGCAGUAUAGUUGUAGAUUCAAGGACUUUUCCAUUUGUUGUAUUUGGCUAUUUCAGCACAAGUAAUCCUGAUAUCUUCAUUUUUUUUCCUUCUGUUUGAUUAAAACUGCAUGUGUGUACAAUGAUCUUUUGGCAUACUUCCAUUGCAUUAACAGUGAAAUUUCCUUUUAUACAUGACCACUGUUUCAGACCUGUACUGCUGCUAUAACAGUUAACCUUUCUGUUUUAAUUUGAUAAUUACUUGAUUUCCAAGACUGUUUCAGCAUAACUGAUUUUAAACAGUUUUCAGAUAGUGAAUUUGAAUAGUCUAAUAAGAAUUCUUUUUCAUUAAAGCAGCUCUUUCAAUGUAUCUAAUAAUAAUAUCAGUGUUUCUUUCUAAAUGUAGGAUAGAAAAGUGAAUAGCAUGCAAAAAAUAUAGCUACAAAUUGCAUCUGCCAUUGAAACAUAAUUGGGGUAUGGAAACGUUCAAGCUUUUUUCUUUUUAUCCUUUUUGCAGUAUAGAUAAGCUUUGUUUUGUAAAUGCACAAGUCCAGUCGUUGAAUCAAGUUAAUUUUUUUAUGUACUUGAAAUCAUUUUAUUACUCUUUAACACUCAUGCUGAAGUUUGAUAUUUGUUGAAAUCCGUUGUUUUACUCUUUGCAUAUCUGUUGGCUCUUGCAUAUGACUAUUAGACUACAUGCAAAUCCAGUCUGUCUUGCCAUUGUCUGUUGGAGUGCAGGUUUGACCCAGCCAGUAUAGAACUAGCUCUGUAGGGGUGAGGAGGCCUGUGCUGUGUGUCAUCCUUGAUUGUGUUCCUUCAAGGAGCAUUGCACUGUAAGUACAUCAGAAUGACAAAUGGAUGAACUGCAACAGUAUCUCUUUGUCAAUGUUCCACAUAAUGCAAAUGCCUAUUUUGUGUGAAUAUUAUGUUGGAAUACAGUGCUGAUAUCUUGGAAAACCAUAACUGCUUCAUAACAUAGAAUAAUGAUACAUAGUUUUGUAUUUUUUUUAAAGUGAGCUUAAUGGGUAAGUAUUUUUGAUACGCUUUAGCUAUAGCUAAAGAAAACUGAUCAUUAAAGUUCAAUAGUAUUCUGGUGCUCCUAAAAUAUUGUUUUUCAGUGUAAAAUAUGCAUAUCUUAUAUAUUAAUACGAGAAACUUGAAAUGUUUAAGGCAGAUGUGGUUUUCUGUUUGCAAAUAAACAAAUGUAGCACUUUUAACACCAUUUCAUAAGUAAUAUAUUAGUUUUGUCAUUGGUAGGGAGCACCAUUCAUUGUUUUGAAUAUACUUUAAAGGAACGAUGUUCAAGGACAUAAAUGUUGAAAUUACCUGCAGGGUGGAAGAUAGCAGUACAGUUCAUUGUAGAUAUUUUGAAAUGUUGAUUGUUUUAUGUAACCUAGAGUGACUUCCCUUACCCUUAUUCAGAUCUCCAUAUGUAGUUCUAGUUUGAUAUUUAAUAGUUAAGGAGUUAUCUAUCUUUUAAGAGUAGGGUAUUGACAUGAACGAUUUCAGUAUUUUGCAUGAUACUGUUAUGUAGAUGACCUUUUUAGGAAAGUGGUGCAUUUAUUAGUUAAACUGAAUAGUUCAGUUAGAUUCAGUAUCAUAACUCAAAAAUCGGAGGCUGUUGAUUUUGAUUCAUUUAAAGUUUAAAAUCUUUAUUAAUUGCAAACAGUGCAAUUAUUUAUACUUCACAGUGCCUUCCCAGACCUUCCACCUUAGGUUCUGCUGCAAAAAGCACCAGUGCUGAAGAUGCUGCAAGCACCAAAUCAUAGCUCAUAAAAUCAGGUCCUGAGAUAGUUACCCAUAAAGAGGAAUCCUUUGAGUGUAUGCCAUUGGUGAGCCGAUGAGCAUGGACCAUAGAAGGGCUCACGUAGAAGGUAAAAUUGGCGAGUCAUCAUUGAGAACUAUGAAAUGUGUUCCCAUAAUACGGUAGAGGGUGGAAUGUACCUGCUUUUGAUCAGUUUUCAUUUUAAGCUAUUCACUUGCUCUUUAAUGUUCCAUGAACUGUUACGUUUCUUAAGUUAUAUAGUUACUGCACCACAUUUAUGUGUUUGUGUGUUCUGAUGAUCAUUGCUAGGUGUGUUAAAAUUGACAGUACAGAGGGGCUCUUUCAGCCUUGAACCUGUCAAGUUCUGAUUAGUUGUAGUUUACAUUUUUAUAAAGGAAUAUAGAUGAAUGCUGAUAGGUAUUUGGACAUUAUGUCUCCUAAGGUUUUUUAUUUCAUUACCAUAAGCCUUCACUGGUAGUAGGAGUUGUUUUCUUUAAUGGCACUAAUCUUAACUUUGAAAUACAUGGCAUGGAAAGCCGAAAAGGUGAGCCAGUUAACUUGAAUGCAGUGUAUAUUUAGGAGUGGUUAAAAAAAGAAAUGUUUAGUUUAGAUUGAAAUUAAAUUGAUUUAUUUGAUUUAGCACUUAAGCAAAAAUUUGAAAACUUUUUAAAAGACAUCUUAGUGUGGUGAUAUACUUCUGUGUUUUGUUUCAGAAAUGAGGAAGUACCUUUUUUUAAUUGAUGAAAAUGGUUUUAAUGUUAAAACUAGAGAUUCUGAUGCUAGUUGUUCAUUAGCACUGUAAAAUACAUCCUUAAACAUCUUGGUAGUUAAUAAGGGUGAAUUGGAGUAGAAGUAGAGUACCUUGAGAAGGAAGUAGUAUAUUAAAAAGUGGUAAUAUUUUAUUUGUUUGACUAUUCUGCCAGUAGAACUAAUUCUGUCUGGAAAGUUAUCUCUAGAGUAAUACAGAAUUCAGUCAUCAGUGAGGAUGUCUUAUUUUUGUUCUCUUGUCUCAAAUGCUGCCUCAUUUUAAAAUGCAUUUAACAAUACCUGAAGAUAAUUUUGACUCUGAAAAUAACCUUACUUUUUAUUUAUCAGUCACUUCUUACCACAACAUAAACUUUUGAGGGAUUUUUUUAAUUGGUGCUUUUACAAAGCAAAUCCCAGGGUUUUAUUUCUUUGGUAAUAUCCCUAAAGAAACUAUUAAAUGUAUUUGAGAAUAUAUAUAUAUUCUUUUCUUAUGCAUGCUCAAUGCAUUUUCGUCCUGAGAAAAGUGUUCUCUACAGAAACUACCCGUGUGUAAAAAGAAGAUUGGCUUAAAAUGGCUACUGUGAUGGGAACAGUGUCUUAGGGAGAUGCAGCUUGGACUUGAGGUAAAUUGAAUACUUUACAACUGUGGCUUAGAGUUUACUUUAAUGACAUUGUAUGUAAGGGGCACAUGAUUGCUGUAAUUUUGUAUUCGUUAUGGUCUCAAUAAAAAAAUAAAUGUACAUUGACAAAUAUUAUAUGAGUACUUUGUGUCUUUGAUACAUGUAGUAAAAGGUUUGUUUUGCCUUAUAUUUGCCCUUAAAGGUGUACAUACAUUACCAAUAAGCAUUUGAUCACACAACGCUUUGAGAAAAGAUCCAUUUUCUCCCCUUUAGUACACAAGUUGCUUUAUUAUGGCUUCACACUAAAAUAAAAUUGUCUUUCAGAAAAUUAAAAUAUAAAACAACUCAGAGGAUAGCUGGUUAUUUACAAAUUUAUUUUGAAGACUGAAGAUUUUAAAUUGAAGGCUGCAUGACUAAGUCUAAUCCUCUUAGAUCUUAAAACCUUCAGUGAUACUAAAAAAUCUUUUAUCCUACAUGAACUAUCAAUACAAAAUUUUCUCAUUAAAAUAUAUUUUUU